rnacentral:rRNA from 1 species
CCUACGGGUGGCAGCAGUAGGGAAUAUUGCUCAAUGGGGGAAACCCUGAAGCAGCAACGCCGCGUGGAGGAUGAAGGUUUUCGGAUUGUAAACUCCUUUUGUUAGAGAAGAUAAUGACGGUAUCUAACGAAUAAGCACCGGCUAACUCCGUGCCGACAGCCGCGGUAAUACGCGGGGUGCAAGCGUUACCCGGAAUCACUGGGGGUAAGAGCGCGUAGGCGGGAUAGCAAGUCAGAUGUGAAAUCCUAUGGCUUAACCCUAGAACUGCAUUUGAAACUGUUAUUCUGGAGUAUAGGAGAGGUAGGCGGAAUUCGUGGUGUAGGGGUAAAAUGCGUAGAGAUCAAGAGGAAUACUGAUUGCGAAGGCGACCUGCUAGAACGUAACUGACGCUGAUGCGCGAAAGCGUGGGGAGCAAACAGGAUUAGAUACCCGAGUAGUC